AUUGAACGCUGGCGGCAGGCUUAACACAUGCAAGUCGAGCGGAGAUGAGGUGCUUGCACCUUAUCUUAGCGGCGGACGGGUGAGUAAUGCUUAGGAAUCUGCCUAUUAGUGGGGGACAACAUUCCGAAAGGAAUGCUAGUACCGCAUACGUCCUACGGGAGAAAGCAGGGGAUCUUCGGACCUUGCGCUAAUAGAUGAGCCUAAGUCGGAUUAGCUAGUUGGUGGGGUAAAGGCCUACCAAGGCGACGAUCUGUAGCGGGUCUGAGAGGAUGAUCCGCCACACUGGGACUGAGAAACGGCCCAGACUCCUACGGGAGGCAGCAGUGGGGAAUAUUGGACAAGGGGGGGAACCCUGAUCCAGCCAUGCCGCGUGUGUGAAGAAGGCCUUAUGGUUGUAAAGCACUUUAAGCGAGGAGGAGGCUACUGAGACUAAUACUCUUGGAUAGUGGACGUUACUCGCAGAAUAAGCACCGGCUAACUCUGUGCAGCCGCCGCGGUAAAAC
rnacentral:rRNA from 1 species